GCCUUUGUAGCCAAAUGGUUAAAGCAUUAGCACCAUAACUGCAAUGUUGCUGGUUCAAUUCCAGCCGGUGACC
rnacentral:tRNA from 1 species